CUGCGACCCAAAUGGGGACCGUGUAACUAACGUGAGCAUUAAAGCGCAUUGACACAUUGUCAGUGUACGAAAUUUCCCUUUAAAAUGUAGAACUGAUAGACGGUCCGCCGUUCAGAGGAAAUGAUCGCAAUCAAAUAACGAGACGGCAGAGAGUGCACGACUGUUCAGCUGAACGCCUCCUCAAACCAACCACCCCAUUUUGCUUUAACCACCCUAAACACCGAACAAUCAGAACCUGCCGCUGUAAGAAACAGACGUUGCUGAUAUAUCAUGGUAUCUAAAACAAAGGAUGAGUGCAGAUAACCUUUUCGAGUUCCACCGGCUUCAUUCACCCGAUCCCUUGCACAGGGAUUGUAAAAAGUGCUUCUCAAACGUACCAGUUAGGAUGCUUACAUCAAGCUAGUCGUUCAACCCCAGCGAAACCCCAGCAUACGCCCGUUAUGAAUUUAAUUCGACCUACAUAGGGUAUUCUACGAGAAGAGAUUCUACGAUUACCCUAGAACUCGGCAAAACAUCACCUGCGGACUGCAUAAAAAAAUCAAACGUGGACAUGGAUACUAGCUUGCUAAUGCCCCUUGGUCUUCUUCCUUUUCCGAGGCAUGCCUCAAAGUGUUUUUGUCUAUCAAAUAUAAAGUUCUUCGAAAAGACUAGAUUAGGUUUAGAGCAAAAAAUAUCAACAUAAAAUAUCGAGCGUUCCUGCUAUUUCGGUGCAAUACCGCAGUCCAA